CCAUAUGAUGUAAUUCAUAGCUUAUUCUGAUGCGUUCAGGAGAUGACCUUUGCAUUUGUGCGCUUAUAUUUGCAGGAACACUGAAGUACUUGUGCCAUGCAGAGCCAGCCCCAGAAAGGACGCAUGAAGGUGUUUUCAAGGCGAUGCUUCAAGCUGUACACCAGAGAACUACAGUCGCUGUGUGACGGAUCUUGGAAUCGGGGCCGAGGUGCACCAGGCAGGUGUAUGCUGACGGCAAGGGUCCAGCAAGGGCUGAUGUUGAGGACCGUGUCAUCCAUUGGUGCUCUGAUGGCACUGGCAUAGUACACCAAAAGCUGGUGUCUGCACGAUCAGUCGCAGCUGAUUCAUGCUAUUUCACAAGCUUAGCUGCAGGAACAAUGCAAAGGACAGGUGGAGGUGGCUGGUGCGAGAAGCCGUCGGGAGUGGUGUCUUGGUGUGGUAAUCUCGGUGUAUCUGCAGUAUCAAUGUCUCAUGAGGGAUUCCGAUAGCUGUCAUUGCUUAAUUUAUUAAGAGCAGGUUUACUUGCUGCUGGGGACAUGAAUAUAGAGUACACGAAUUUGGCGGCAGCAGUGAUACCAGAAAAAGCGGCAGUUGUGUAGGACUUGCAGCUGCAGCAUGGUGGCGUGGUGCCUUACUCAUGCUGAGGUAGAAUUGACACUCAAGCUGAAUGAAUACAUGGCAAGGCUACAUCUGUGAAACUUUUGCAGUUCAGGCAUCUGUGGGGAUCAAGAGCACUGCUCUUCAGAAGACGGUCUACUUGCUCCUGCUUGCUAGGAGAAUUCCUAUGACAACAAAGUUGGGGCGGUGGUGGUGGUUGCUCGAAGUGGUCCUUGGACUGUCAUGUAGAGAAAGUGUGCCUGGUAGAGUGAGUGGUAAAGCCUCGGAAAUGGUUGUGAGAGGUCACCAGAUACAACAGGUUGGGAUGAGAGCCCGUGGCAGUGUGUAAGGAAGAAGUGGGAUUUGUAAAGAAGCGGACAGGAUUUGUGGUUGGCUCAGUUUUCUUUUGUGGGAACAGCAGGUGUGCGAACUUAUCUGAGCUGGUGUGACAACUCAUGGGAUGAAGAGAGGUUGAAGGUCUGGACUGGCAUGUGAUAACAAUCAGCGUGGGUGAACAUGGGUAAGCAUUGUGAAGAUAUGCAAUGAGGCCACUGGUCAUGGGGUGAAAGUGGUCAUGACAGCGUGCUGGGAGGAAGACGAAGUAUAGUAGCCGAUUACGCUGUGCCGCAGGUUCUUACAGAUGUUUGGCACAGGAGGUGCCAUUCACAGUUCCACAAUUCGGCCCUCUGAAAGCUCCCGUAAUGCAUGGUGGUAAUGCAGCAGUAAGUCAGUCACAUUGUUAGUGAAAUGGCUGUCCGGCUGGCUAAACCAGAGGGCUCGUUAGGCGAUGCAGAACUCCAGGAGGCCGUGGAGCUGUGGGAAGUCGGCUGGUACAAAAAGGCUGCCGUCGCACUCGCUCUAAGUAGCUGUGCUUGUGCUUGCAUGGUUGGCUCGGUUGCCUGAAGUCGCCAUUCCGUGAAGGUGGUUGGGGAGAGGUAGCAGUCAGGUGCAACUGUUCAUUGAAUUGACCAGCCAUGGCACCAAUAGUUUGUGAGAGUGGUUGGUAAGCUCUGCUGCCUAGGCAGAACGUGCUAAUGUGUUCUAUUCAUGUGCAAAUCUGCAUGUGGCUAUCUCCUUCCUCAGUAGAGCUGUAGCCGAUUGGUGCACCUCUACGAUCCAAACCCAAGCUUGUGUGUUUAUUUGCUUUCGUGAAGUACCUAAUAAAAUGAAUGCCCCUCAACAUGCUCAGCAGCAACUUUUGUACAUUGAGGCAUUCAUAGUUAUAGGCACAGGCACUUGAGAACCAUGAGUGAUACU